GGUAUCAUUUCUGCAGAACAUAUGAUAAAAUUGGAAUAAUACAGAGAGGAUUAACAUGGCCCUUACGCAGGGGCCACAAUUUUGAACUUGAACCAACUUAG
rnacentral:snRNA from 2 species